GCAAUCAUUGUUUUCCAUAGAUUCCCUUUCUCGUUCGAUCACCGAAGUUAAGCAUCGGAGAGCCAGGUCAGUACUUAGAUGGGGGACCGCUUGGGAACACCUGGUACUGUAAGC